UACGUAGGGUGCGAGCGUUAAUCGGAAUUACUGGGCGUAAAGCGUGCGCAGGCGGUUUCACAAGCUAGAUGUGAAAGCCCCGGGCUUAACCUGGGAACUGCAUUUAGGACUGUGGAGCUAGAGUGCGGCAGAGGGAGGUGGAAUUCCACGUGUAGCAGUGAAAUGCGUAGAUAUGUGGAGGAACACCGAUGGCGAAGGCAGCCUCCUGGGCCGACACUGACGCUCAUGCACGAAAGCGUGGGGAGCAAACAGG
rnacentral:rRNA from 1 species